CGAAUUCCAGGGGUAAUGACACGGCUCCUAUUCUCCAAAGUCCAUUGUCAAUAGGGAUAAUCUCCCUCUUUCAGUGUUACCACAAUUCCAUUUUGAAAUUCUACAACCUGUAGAUUAACCAUAUUCAACCAAAAUUAUAUAAUCCAGCAAGAAAGGAAGAAUGGGUAAAGUCUACAGUCCAUUUCUAGAACUGGUCAUGAGAACUCAUGUUUAUGAUGAUGGACUUUUAAUCUGGUGGAGUGACCCAAACCUUCAGUUCUGAAGCUCCUUAGUGGUCCUACCUGUGUGACAGGCAUUUACUAUUGGACAUGGCAGUCCCAGGACGAACUCCAGGAAUCCCCCCAUGUCCAUCUCUACUCCUGCCCCCUUUUACGUAACAGCAAUCAUAUUUUCCCUUGAAAGGGUUAAUCAUUCUAGAUACUCCCAUGACCUCUUUAUAAUGAGCCUGAAAUGGCCCGGUGGCUGCCUCAGCUUCCAAUUCAGUUGAACUGCUACUACGUCUUUGAGGAUGUGCUCCUUGCUGGGGGACUAAACUCUCCACACCAGCCCGGUCCCAAACCUCAGGUGUAAGAAAAACAUUGAGAUCUAGCAAUAGCAGGGCCGUCUCUACACUGCGUCCUAUCCCUGAAGGAGAAACAGCGCCAGGUAUGGUUGCCGGCUUCAAGCGCAUGCUGCCUCCUGCAGUCCUGACCCAGCCUCUAGGGGUGUUGUUUCUAGUGCCAUAGUUGAAUUUUCAACAAACCAUUUCACCACACUCUCAAGCCAGCUGCUGCUGGUUUGUGGGUUCCUGAGAGGAUGAGUGAAUGCCUACCCAUCAACCCAUUACUCUUCUUUUAGCUGUAAAGGGAAUUCUGUGGUUGGGUGCAGUAUGUAAGGAGGUCACAUGAUGUUUAUGGCAUUUGAUAAUUCCGUGGAUAUUGAUGGCAGGAGACGCGUGAUGGGUUAGAAAAGCAAAUUCAAAUCCAGAACGAGGGCCCAAAAGGGCCAAGACAAAUUACUGCCCCUCUCAGAGCCACAAAUGUAGAAAGGGGGAAGCUCAGCAGUAUGGCGGGAGGAAGCACUGUGGAGAGUGAGUGAGCUACCCACACAUGACCUGCUGGUGCCUUCAGAGCCCUAGCCUGGAGCGACAGUGUCCCAUUGAUAACAGAGUACACUGGCUAUACCAGACUUUACGGCUAGGUGGUCAGAUAACCAUUUCACGAGGGGCAGCAUGGCCAACGAGUGUGCCAGGGCCAAGUGUUUAGGUUCCCCCAGAGCCCAGUGGUGAGCCAGAGGGGCAUUUUGCACAAGGAUAAUGGUUACUUGUCGGCCAGAGCAUCGCUUGACUCCAAAUCCUGGGUUCUCCUAUCAUAUUUUCUUGUCAGGACUUACUGCAAGCUAUAUAUGGCUCCCCGGUAUGCCACCAAUGGACAGAUACCUCACGUACCAUUGACCUGCCAGGUCACAUGGCCUGAUGGCAGAGCUGGCUGCACGAAAGACUUUCCCAGCUGGAAUGCCUUCGCCUGCUCUAGGCCCACCCCAAAGCUGGCAGCGUUCUAGGUCAGUUGGUAAAUGGGUUAGAACAAGAUGCCCCAAAGUGACAUAUAUUGCUUGGAAUUAGGCCUUAGUGGUGAGGGAUUCAACAUACAGUCAUUUGUCCUACAUUAUGAAGGAAACAUUCUGACCUCAAACAGAUCCCUCAACCCCUAGAACUUUAUAGAAGGGGCAGACCUUGGCAUUUUCACAUGAUUUAUCUCCCACUCGGAUUCACAUAUGUUUGACCAAGGCACUAGGCAGCUGCCGAUUUCCCAUCCCUCCUGUAGUUCCAGAUGAAUGGAUACAGAUCCCUUUGGGGAAGGCUGCAAGGAAAGUUCACAACAUGCAUCUAAGCGUUAAGUUUUUCCUUCAAAAAGACAUUUGACUUCCUCUCCAUUUAAGGUCUGGAAAUCAAGUGGGAGAUAUUGACUUUGGCACUUGAGACAGACCUGUUG
rnacentral:lncRNA from 1 species